CGCACCUCUGGUGUACCGGUUGUCAUGCCAAUGGCACCGCCGGGUAGCUCAGUGCGGAAGUGAUAACCGCUGAAAGCAUCUAAGCGGGAAGCCCCCCUCAAGAUUAGGUUUCUCUGGACCUUUAAGGUCCCUAAAGGGUCGUUGUAGACCACAACGUUGAUAGGCGGGGUGUGGAAGUGCAGUAAUGCAUUAAGCUAACCCGUACUAAUUGCCCGUGAGGCUUGAUCAUAUAACACCCAAGAAG
rnacentral:rRNA from 1 species